GGCAACCACGCCUCAACAGAAAGGAUUGGAAAGAUUUAUUUUGAGUUAAGCCUUCGUUGUAAAUGUUUUACGGUUAAUUGUAUUUGAUUAAAGUGUAUUUUGGCCAAUUGAUUUUUACUCUAUCCUAUUAAAGCCUGGAAACAUCAUGUGCCGGAAGAAGCAAAGGUAAAGGCAGUAUCUAAUCAAGUGAGAGUUUCAAAUGGAGUUUAAAUUGCCCUGAGAAUUAAAAUUGAAUCGAAAGAGUUUACAAAGUUUUUUUUUGUAACUGAACAUUCAGUGAAAGAACAGAUGAACAUUUUUGUUUCUGCUGGCUUGUGUUUCUGGUUUUGACUGUUGAUCGCAUAAGGGUAAUUGAAUAAUGCAACCCAACGCCUCCAGAACAAAUACUGUAUAAUGUGUCCAUCAAGAACAGACGAUGCUGAGCAGACGACACAAAGAAAAGGCCAACUGGUUUCAAAUUGGUGGCAUUUCAGGAACUGUUGAAGUUAAUUAUGGGAAAUUAAUCUAGUCAAGUGAUCUCAAGGAGUUAUUUUGUUAUGAUUGUGAUGAUGUUUGACUGCUCGUAUGGAUAAAUAUUUUAGAGGAAUACUUAUUGGAGUUAACCAGAAAGACUAUGAAUUUUCAACGAAUUAUUGAGCAAAUUAUUCAUCAUGUUAUUGGAGUUGCUUUUUUUCUCAAUACCAGAGAGAAAAUUUUGAGCCAACUUGUCAGAAAACACUUUCCCCGUCAUCAAAUUGAUUGAUAUUUUAUUAUUAAUCAUUUAUUAAGACAUUUCUUAUCAAAUUGGUUUGUUGUUUGAUUAAAAUUUAGCAUUAAACAGCAACAAAAAAGUGUGUUACCAUGAAAAUGAAAACACUUUUUGAUGUUUCAGUUUGAUGGAUUAUUAGAUGAAAUGAUUUAGUGUCUGAUGGAUGAGAGGCAAAAUUGACAAUGAAAUACAUAUUCCUGUUAGGCGUUAAAGAAGACGAGUUGGAAACAUUGACAUAACCCAAGUUAAUCAAAGUUUAAUGGAUAUAUUGCUACAUAACUGUAAUCCAAUGGAGUUAAUCCUAUUCUGUGGAAUUAAAUAAUGACAAUUAACACGAGAUUAUAAUGUCAUUAACCAGCAAGUAAGAACUGCAAACAUCUCAAGAGGAAAACGAGCAAUAUUAUCAACAAAAAGAUUCAUCAAGUUUUUGUUGGUGCACAUUAACAAUCUAUUGCAAUUGUUAAUGAUAAUUUGAUUAUGCAUUGUAAUCAUUGGUCCACAAUGUUGACAAAUGGCCAUUUUAAGCUGAGGCUUGACUGAUCUCAUAAUCAAUGAUGGAUUUGGACACAAAAAGAGAUGGAGUCAAAAAAAUUCAGCAAGAUUAUUGUUUCUAAUUGGAUAUUAUCAUGAUGAUGAGGAAAAGGAGGAGUAAACACACACAGAAUAUAAGGAGGGAAAAUAAAAAAGUUAGAUUAUUCAGAUUAUAGAGAUAAUUAACGAGGUAAUCAGUUUGGAUUUAAUGUGAAUUGUGAAUUGCAAGAGAUGUAAAGUAUUAAUUGCAGUGGAUUGACAUUGUCAUUAAACAUUUUCAAAUCUAUUACCAGUUUGUUUCAAUUAUAAAAACUAAUCGAACAGAUUAGUAGCUAAUUUAUCUAACAAUACAAUUCAAUUGAAAAGUGUGCAGAUUAAUUUAAUUCCAUUAAUUUUGUACUCGAUAAUUUAACCAUGUUCAAGUUACGUUCAGACAUUUUAAACGGUAAAAACUGAGCUUCUGUUGUGAUUAGAAAGUUGAAGCAUAGAUGGCAUUAAACGGUACAAGAUGAUAAAAAAUUAAUUUUUCAUUCCAUGAUUUUCAUCAGGUUUUAUUGAAUUUCAAUUUCAAUCAAUAAAUUUUUCUCUUUUAAAGAUACAAGUUCAUUUUGAUAAGCAUUGAACCAUAAUAAUUUCAUCAAUAAAUCUCAUUUGUAUUGCAAACUAAUCGAGGUAAGUGAAGCUGUUGAAUAUUGAAAAUGCUUACACAAGAAACAAAAAAAAGAACCAAAAUGAGAAAAAAUACAAAUUAAAAUACUACAGUCACCAUUGAGAUAAUACACUCAUUAUUUCAACAAUGGCUAAUUAAACAGAAGUUAAAUCUAAUUUUGAUUUAAGUCAAUUUCAUUUCGAUUUCCUUUCGUAAAAUAUCAAUGAAAAAGCUCAAGAAAUCAACUAGAAGUGACAAUUAAGCUUGAAUUUCAGCUUGUUGAGACAUUUCAUGGUUUUAAGCUUUCCAACUUCAGAUUGACUUAAGGAACACUCAGUUAUAAUAUCAAUUUUUUCAGUCAAUGAUACAUGUUACAUGUUAUAUUGACACUUGAUCUUCUUAAUUGAGACUUGAAUCGUCUGACCCUUUUACCCCUCAAUUUUUUUGUUGUUUUAGUUCACCUAGAUGGCAGCAUUCAAAAGUCAAAAGUCAUAAGUCAACGUAAUGCUGUAAAUGAUUUGAAAUUGAAACUCAACUAUUAUUGUAAAAUGUAGACUUUUUUAACCAAAAAUAUUUGUCUUACAAUGUUAUAAACGAUUACUUGGAUUGCCAAAAAAUCUUGAAUAGUUUGAACUUUUAUAUUCAAUUUUUGUGUCCAUUAGUGUCAAGUAUCUUCUAGAAAGAUCAUCAACUCAACAGGAUUAAACCGUUAAAUGUGAUUUUUUGAAAAGUGUUGACCUCAUUUUCAUCUCGUCUGACUUUAUGAAAAGAAAUCAAAUUUAAGAUUAUCAAUAAUCACAUUGAAAGUUCUUUAAUCAUAAUCAUCACACUGUUCAGUCAAGUUUUACCUUUAAUUUUCAACUUGUGAGCUGUUAAUGCAUGAAUCUUUAACAAGAAUGAGUUGAGCUAACAUUUAUCCAUAAGAUUGAGUCUUCCAAACGUCUUUUUAGACUCCAACAAUUGGAUUCAUUUAAUGUAGCCAUAGUCUAGCUUUACUAUUUGCCAAUCUGAUGAUUCUGGAUAAUGAGCCAUGCAAUGAAAAUAACAUUAACAUUCUUUCAUCUUCUCUUUUCCCUUCUUUCCCCUCAUUUUUAUUCAUUCAUUUUGUUUUAUCCUCGUUUCCAUCCUUAGACCUUUUAACAUUCCAAUCUACUCAGUUCCAUACACUCUUAUCACUUCAACCUUUUUCGUCUUCGUUACAGGCAAAAAAAUAGGAUGGCAAAAAAGCAUCAAACAAACAAACAAUCAUGGAAACAUUUUACUUUCAUCUCACCAUCCGGUCAGAACUCAGUGGUGACCAUUUAUAUUAUUUAUCUUGAACCUGAAGGCUGAAACACACAGACACACUUUAAUGCACUGCAAGGAGGAAGAAACAAGAGACCCAAAAAAAGUGAAGGCGAAAAAAGAGGAACCAAGAAAAUCAUCUUUAAUCUCGUUUAGUGAAAAACAGGCAAAAGCUAUUCAAUGGAAAGUGAUUAAUGAUAAUAACAUUUUUUGUCGACUCCAAAUAUCACCAAUUUGAUUAACAAUUUAAAUAUCCAAUUUUCAUUCACAAAUCCAUAUUCAUUAGGAUUCCAGUGAGCUUGCUGAUUAACCUGAAUACAGCCCAAAGCAGAGGAGGAAAGACGAUACCAGUGAUUGUACCAGUAAUCAGUUGAAUGGUGGUUAAUGUUUCCAUAUCAAAUACCCAAUUGAAUAUUCAGGCAAAAUACUUGAAGCAAAAGUUGGAAACUUUAAAAUUUGAAAGAAGCUACCAAAUUGCGAUCGCAAAGGAAAAACCAAAGUCAACCUUUUUUUUGCUUUUCAUUUCCAUGCCAAGUAGUAACCAGAAAACUUCAUCAUCUACCUCUUUUCACCAUUACAUGAUAAUAUUUAUACGAUGAAAAUUUAGAAGAAUCUUAUCAGGAAUAUGAAUAAUAUCCGACAAUAUGUACAUCUACUUAUGAAUUCAGCUUCACGGUCCAAAGAAUUGUAUGAAUGUUUUUUUCCACUUUUUGUUCCUCAUCAACUUACAUGUAUUAGGAGUUAUUAUUGAUAUGAAUCAGAAUUGAUUCUUUCAUGAACAAAUAAUCAUGUAACAUAUUUUUUCAUCCCUAAUUCAAAUUGAAGGAAAGAAAAUUUAAAUUUUUCCAAUUUCUCCUCGUUAAGGUAAAUAAUGUCUAACUCAAUAAUCAACAUUAAAAAACAACUCGCAAGGUUGAUUAUAAUGAGUUGCAAGUUAAUUGUUUGUUUGACUGUUUAAUAAAUUGUAAAAAUAUUCAGACUCAAUCUAUUGACUCAAGAUUUGGUUGUUUGAUAACAACAAAAUAAGGUUUUCUGGAUUCAAGUAAAGCUUUCCUCAUGUAAAACGCAAACCUUACAACCUUUUUUGUUCAACUCCGUUUGUUAUUUCAAUUUGUUUCAUGUUUUGCCAGUUAUUUUGGCUGAUUUAUCUUCAUGAAAAUUUAUUUCACUUUCAAUGAGCAUUCUCUGAAUAACAAUGAUAAAAGUGACAGAAUCUGUUGUGAAAAAAACUGAGUUGCAAAGAAAAAGAAAUGCAAAAAAGAAGCUUGAAAAUUGUUGUGAUCAAAAUUUGGAUUUGGUGAAGCUUGGUGAUCAUUUCAUUGAAUAGAUAACAGUAUAUUUCAUGAUCAUCAUGAAGAUAAUGGUGAAGGUGAAAAAAACUGAGACAGAAAUGAAUGUUCAACUGAGCGUAAAGAGCAAGCUUGGCAGGUUACCAUGUAUUUGGGUUUUCACUUCAUUACAGUGAACUGCUUUUGUUUUCAAUCCUUUUCAUAUUUCUCCUCUCAUUUUAAUCUUGAUCAUCUUCAUGUUCAUGAUCAUCUUGAAUAUGAACCAUCAAGACUAGUGUGACAGCCGUCGGGAUCAAACACUUUAAGUGCUUCUGUUGGGUUGAACCUGAUUCAAGGGUAAAUAUUUUUGUAUUUCAUUUCAUUGAGUUUCUUAUUUUGUUUUUGUUACCAACUUUUCAGACGAUUUAAUGUUCAAUCAAGACCUAAGGGUUAAUCCAUCAAAAGGUGAACAAUGAAAUUGGUGAAAACAAAAGCUUAUUUUUGCACUGUUUACAGUCUCAUCAACACUUGUGAGAUAAAUUUAGUCUCCUCUUUACCUGUCAACACAUUUAACUAACUUUGUCCAUCUCUUUGAUAAUUUGAUUUCUAGGACCUACUUUAUCAUGAUCAUCAUGGUCUUUGUCAUUAUCAUCUUUACCAUCAUCUUCAUUAUAUUACUGAAUGAAUGGUAAAAGUUGUACAGUGUAAGUUAUAAUAACCUAAAGCUAUUUGGGUUGAAGACAAAGCUCAAAGUUAUUGUCAUUGAAUAAACAGCCUUUAUUGGGUUUCACAUUUGACAAUCAAGUUGAUAAUAAAAGCUGAAAACAAUUCACAUGAUUGAGACAAUUAAGGGUUCCAACUAAUUUGUAUAUCUCACAGUGUGACUCUUUAAUGGUUGAAAAGGGCGCUUCAAGGCAAGACAUCAGCUGUUAACCUUUUGUUGCAUUUUCAUUAUAAAAUUUGCUUUUCAAUAUCGACUUUUCAUUUUGUUUUCUCGUUUUUACGUCAUAAAUUGUUUUUAUUACUAUUGAUUGGUGUAUUUACCGGGAAAUUGGUGUUAUUAAUUGGCCAUAAAGGAUCUAUUAUUGUUUCAAUGUGUUCAACUGAGCGUUGAAAUGUGAUAUUUUUUUGUACUUUUCAUGACGGCAAACAUGUGUAGUCAAUGGUUUGUCUGAAGGGUUUCAAAUAAUGUGAUGAUAUUAAUAGUAUCAAUCGGCAGAUGAAUAUAAGAUUAAAUUACAACAUUAGAUGGAAAUGCGUGUGUUUGGUCAGCAAAUGUUGGAUAUUCAAAAGAGAUAAAUAUUGGAUUAAGGUAUGGAUUUUGAGCAGCAGAAUAUUGAACAGGAACAAAGUAUUUAGGAAUUGGAGGGUUUAUUAUUUAUGAAUGAGGAUUGGAGUUGAUGAAAGUUAGUUUGUUGUUAGCUUGACUGAAUUAUUGGAAAAGUUAUUAUGAAGAAAGGCAGAAAUAAGGCAACAAAAUGGAAAGCUAAUCACAAUUUAUCAAAUUGAUUAAUAAUUACAGAAGAAAAGUUACAAUUCUCAAGAUUUAUCUACCAUCAAAAGACCCUGAAUGGUUGAACUCUGUUUUUUUGCAGUGAAAAUAAUUAUCAUUUUGUUGACUAUUUGAAAGGUUAAAAAUAAUUUGAUAUCAUUCUGAAUUUGAUUAGUGUUUAUUGAUAAUUAGACUCAUUUCCUCUACAAUCAGUUUAAAUUGCAAUUUUUAAUUUUGAAGAUCGCGCAAAUUACACUCCAAUUACGUCACUAACACUUUCCCUCUCUUUUUGCACCAUGUGAUUCAUUUUACAGUUUUUUUAAGAAAAGGUUCGUUAACUUAUAAUUUUUGUGCAAAAUUUUAGUUAAUUAAUUGUGUUCGUUUUGUUAAUUACCUCAGUAAGUUUAGCUUUUUAUCGUAAACAUAAAUCUUCAACAUUUAAUUGAAGGAGUUGUUCUGUAUAACAGUGGAUUUCUUGAUUGGUUGAUUAUGACUUGGCAGCUUAUUUUAAGAUCUUUGUAUGGAAAGAUCUUUGUAUUGAAUCUAUUGAUUAAAGUGUCCUUUCAUAAUGUAAUAACAUCAUUAUUACCUGAAUUGAUUGAAAGCCCGGGAAUAGGAUUGAAUCAAGGACUCAGAAAUGGAAACAAACUCAAUCGGUUGAGUACAAAAGUGCUGAACCUUCAAUUGUUUUAUAUGGAAGUAUAACUUGUCCUCUUGCACCACUAACUCGACUAACCUGGAGAAGAUAGGGUCCAACUGAUUCUGGUAUUUCGAUUGACGCUUCUUUGAAUGCAAAA